UACGUAGGGGGCAAGCGUUAUCCGGAUUUAUUGGGUUUAAAGGGUGCGUAGGCGGAGUGUCAAGUCAGCGGUAAAAUUUCGGGGCUCAACCCCGUCGUGCCGUUGAAACUGAUGAUCUUGAGUGGGCGAGAAGUAUGCGGAAUGCGUGGUGUAGCGGUGAAAUGCAUAGAUAUCACGCAGAACUCCGAUUGCGAAGGCAGCAUACCGGCGCCCGACUGACGCUGAAGCACGAAAGCGUGGGUAUCGAACAGG
rnacentral:rRNA from 1 species